UACGUAGGGUGCGAGCGUUGUCCGGAAUUAUUGGGCGUAAAGAGCUUGUAGGCGGUUUGUCGCGUCUGCCGUGAAAGCCCAGGGCUUAACCCUGGGUCUGCGGUGGGUACGGGCAGACUAGAGUGUGGUAGGGGAGACUGGAAUUCCUGGUGUAGCGGUGAAAUGCGCAGAUAUCAGGAGGAACACCGAUGGCGAAGGCAGGUCUCUGGGCCGAUACUGACGCUGAGGAGCGAAAGCGUGGGGAGCGAACAGG
rnacentral:rRNA from 1 species